AUUGAACGCUGGCGGCAGGCCUAACACAUGCAAGUCGAGCGAGCGGCGGACGGGUGAGUAAUGCCUAGGAAUCUGCCUGGUAGUGGGGGAUAACGACUGGAAACGGUCGCUAAUACCGCAUACCAUCGGAUGAGCCCAGGUGGGAUUAGCUUGGAGGUGAGGUAACGGCCCACCUAGGCGACGAUCCCUACCUGGUCUGAGAGGAUGACCAGCCACACUGGAACUGAGACACGGUCCAGACGCCUACGGGAGGCAGCAGUGGGGAAUAUUGGACAAUGGGCGAAAGCCUGAUGCAGCCAUGCCGCGUGUAUGAAGAAGGCCUUCGGUUUGUAAAGUACUUUCAGCGGGGAGGCGUUACCCGCAGAAGAAGCACCGGCUAACUCCGUGCCAGCAGCCGCGGUAAUAC
rnacentral:rRNA from 1 species